UGGCCCCAUGCAUGAGGAGGUACCUGUUGGAAAUAUGAGCAAUUUACCGAAUGAUUUUAUUAAUAGAAAUACUAGUUAUAGCACGACUAGUAUAGCAGUGAUAAAACAAGUCAUGCGAUUUGACAAAGAGAAGGUAAACAACAUGUUCAUAUAUGAACUGUAACUAAACACAUCUAGAGCAGACAGUAUAGCAAGUUGCAUAUAUGAAACAGACUCUAACAUAUCUAGGGUAAACACUAGAACAAGGAACUGUAGCAGGGCCUCUAAUAGAAAGAGGAAGAACAGAUACGGGACAGCAGCAGCAGAAGCGCUGGACUUGGGGUCGGUGUCCUCGCCAGCCAUGUCGUCGAGGAGGUUGUCGACGUUGGGGAAGAAGUUGUCGUCGGGGAAGUAGUCAUCGGAGUCCGGGGCGUCCGUGACGAAGAAGUCAGUAGUCACGCGAAGCGCUCCCCAAAAACCUUAUCACCCUUCUCCCGUACAGGACUCAAAGAGGUGCGGUUUCGGAGGCCUACUGUCCCGACCUGCGGUGCACGCCGCAAGCCGGGAUGGGGAAGAACAUAGCAGCAGCGCAAUGCUCAGGAACUUGUGGCGAGAGGAAGAAGAGGUUCUGGUGCGUCUCUAUGAGAGAAGCGACCUCCCUUUUAUAGGCGCAAGAGAAGGAGGCGAGAGGCUGCGCCGGGAGCUGAAGAGAACGAGGGAGACGAAACGAACAGGCAGCAGGCAAUGAGGUGUGUCGUCCGUAUUCAAUCUCCACUACAACAAAAACGUUUCAGCUUCCGCGUGACCUUUCGUAUACCCGUCGUGCGUGGCAAAAAUUUAGACAUCGGCUUGGCUCAUUCCCGCAACCCGCGGCGCGGCGCGCUCUAAACUAGCAAUGUGGGACUAAACUUUAGUUCCACCUCUUUCCUUGCACGAAUGGACUGCGUGGGCCUCUAGGAUUUAUUAGGAAUUUCUGAAACUGCUAUUGGGCUAGGCCCAAAAUAGACAAAAUUCCAGCAACCCCCCACCAGAUCCCAGAGGCACACAAAAUUUGCCUUUGGUUCCAAAACAUUGUUUUAUAUACCGGUACUACAGUGGAGACUGUUAAGUUGAACUUCCACCUAGAACUCUAUGCUACACUAGUAAGCAACUCGGACAGUGGACUGGGCCUUGAACUGCAAGUUUUCUGCGAAUCUAGCUUCACAUAAAGCCUUGACCGAUACGUGGAUACCGUGGGUCUUCCCCGCGGGUGGAGCUUAUGCGUCAUACUCCGAGAACUUUCAUGAGUUUACUAGAGAGAACCCUACUCUCAUAGAUUGCGACGUUUAACAAUCAGACUCAUAUAGGUGCGUUCUUCAAAAGAUGUUCUGCAGGACAACAUCUCUGCUUCAAUGAGCCACUUAGAACACAUUAAGAUAUACAUCAACCUGCCAUGCAGAUUAGGAGAAUAUUGCAUCUUCAUGGAGUGGUAUUAAUAGUAAGGAUAUUCUCCUCUCAGUUGACCAACAGCUUGUCUUCCACAUCUAAUUCACGGGAUCUCCGAUCACAUAGACUAGGUUACCAUUGUGAACAACUCAUAUUGUGGGUCUCAUACCCAUCUCCCUCGAUGCAUUAUCUAUCACAUUACGUGAUAAACCCUUAGUGAAAGGAUUUGCCAGAUUUUUAGACGUUUGGAUAUAAUCCAAUGCAAUAACUCCGGAGUUUCUCAUUUUUCUGACAGACUUUAACCUUCUCUGAACGUGUCUUGAUGACUUCAUGUUAUCCUUUGGGCUGCUCACUUUUGUUAUUACAGUUUGUGACACCCCAAAAUUUUGGCCUUGUUUUAUUGAUUUAAAUUUUUUCCAGGAAAUAAAACUUUUCCAUUUGUCAAGAUUUACCCUUUUGCUAUUAUGGAUUUUUACUUCAAGUGGAAAACUUUCACAAGGUAUUGUUGGACUUGAAUACUCUCUAUGAUAAAACAAUUCUUUAUCAGUGGAUUUAAAUUUGCUAGAUUUGUUUUCUCAGAGCCUUAUUCUUUUAAAAAUGAUUUCUUUUGAAUUUGGAGCCUGUUUUGCACUACAACCAUUUGACAAAUGCAUUUAAAAUUUCCACAAAAAAUUUGGGGAUGUCAUGUGAUGUUUCCACAUCACUUUUAUGCAAAAAUACCUUUUGGCCAUUGGAGAUUUUGAGCUCUACACCAACUUUUCCAAUCUGGUCCAGUAGGCACUUUUGCACUACAACCCAUUUAAUUAUUUCUUUAAAAAUUCUUCCAAGUGUUUGGAGAUGUCAGUGGAUGCAUACAAUUCAACUCUAUGCAAAAACCAAGUGAUGUUCUUUGAAAAAUUUGAGUGAAUCAACCUCUUUUUCAUUCUGGUCCAGUUUGGUGAUUUGAACUGCAACCCUAUUUUAUUUUGCUCUGGUGCCCAUGACCCUUUUUCCUACUUGUAGCCCUCCCUUCAAAACCCUUAAGUCCAGGAGAGUGGACUCAUUGGAGGUUUUGAAGUGCAUGCAAUAAACCCUUUUUCUUUCUAUCCAAAACUAAAGUUUUGCAAAACUUGCACUAAUAAGUUUCUGGUUUUGCCCAAGUAAUCUUGCCACCAUCUUCUGCACCUAAAGAGACCCUGAUCUGGAGACUUUGGCCACUCCAAGAGUUGCCUAAGUGCAUUUGGCAUUCUGUCGAGCACUUGGUGUGCACAGUUAGCUUGGGGCAUGUUUUCUAGUUUGCACUGUGAACUUGCUCCAAUGACCCAGCAACCUUAUCCACUGAACUCCUAGUUGCCUCUAUCCUAGUCCUGUUAAUUGCCAGCCCCACCCUCGCGCUCUAGACCGCCCUGGCAUUUCGUCGAGCAGGUUCCGUGCGUGCUCUGGGCGCGCCCAGAGCGCACGUUUUGCACGCGCGCGCACUGAGCCGCCGCGCCGCACUGCCGCACUCGACGCGACCCAUCCCUGGCCCCUGCUCACCUGCUGAGCAGCGCACUAGCCUCGCCCACUCCCCACGCCACCCCUGGCGCCCUACAGCGCCGCUGGCAGAGCGUUUGGCGGCACGCCGGCGUCGGCAGCGAACCUCUGACAUGGACGGCGCCGCCCAAGCCACCCCAGCGCGCCAGCUGCCCCCGUGAACAGCCCGGUCUUAUCCCGAAGCUCGUCGGCACGCGCUCGUCGCCGCCACGUCGCCCUGCAGCUACAGCACGGCUGUCGCCGGCGAUCUUAUCCUCAGCCGCCGCGGCCCAGCCCUGAGCGCCUAUUUAAGGGACCCCCGAGCUCGUGCAAGACCUCAGGCAACCUCAGACUGUUCCCCUAGUCCUCCCCUAGCAGUGGAUUGGCCCGGAGAGGCUCUCUUCCCCAACUCCGGCCAGCUCGGCCGCCGCCAAGUUCCGGUGCGAUACAUCGCAGCCAGCCACUCUCUCGCCCAACCGACGCCACCAGUAGCUUCCCCUUGUCCUUGCGGAGCUGCCCGACUACCCAACCUCGAUCGGAGACCACCGGAGCCCAAAAACCACUUCACCACCGUAGCCCCCUCCGCCGUGGAGCUCGCCGCCGGUGAUUUCCUCCACCCCCGACGACCCAGCGACCACCAAGAGGACCGCCUCGGUCUGGCCGGUCCAUCCCCGCCCCCAGAUGCCCUCGAGGAGCCGCCGUUCGUCGACGGCGAUCGCCGGAGGCCGCCACCGUUCGGACAGAGAGAGAGAGGAGGGAGGGAAGAACGGUCAAACCUGACCAGUGGGCCCUCUGGACCCACUGCCAGUGACCCGCGCGCCGUCCCCUCUGUUUAAGUGAAAGCGUAUAACCACAGAGUACGUCUCCCCUACCCCGAAAGCGUAUUCCCCUCGAAACGUUUUCUUUUCUGGUUUUAUUUAAAAACAGAGUUUUGACCAGACUUUGACCAGCUAUAACUUUUAAAAUAAAACUCCAAAUGAGUUGAUUCUUUUUCCUACCUCUCUCAAAUUCCAUAUAGUUUAUUUUAAGAUUUACUUCAAAAAUAUUUGAGACAACUUUUUGUACUGUGUUUGUAAUAUUUGUUAUUUGGAUAUUUCUCAAAUAGGAAUUUUGGAGAGAAGGGAAAGCUUUUAAAAAAGUGCAUCCCUUGCAUACUCUUGAAGGCAAGCAUUUCUGAACUCUGGCAUAAUAUUUUGUUGUGGUGUUUUGAUACGAUUACAACACCAUUUGACUUGGAGUAUGCGUUAUCUUUAUGUAACGAUAAAGUCUCAUGCAUGAGUACUUUUUGGAGAUAUUUUGUGGUCAGCAAUGGAUACGCUAGGGAUUUGGAUCAUCCCCGUGAGCUCCUCAUGCAUACUGGAAGGAAGCCGGGAAAGUCGUGGUCUUGGGUAGACACGAGCUUGUCCCUAGUCCCCCGUCGAGACGAGUAUGUCCGGUAUGGCAUGGUGAGGCUUGAUGAGUGGUGAUUUAUUCCACUAAUGGUAAUAUUGUUGGAGGAUACUUGGACCACCUGAGUCGGUCGUAGGUCGAGUCUUGGUCAGUAGCUUCCCUAUUUGUUGGUACCACCACUUGUCCCUGUCGCAGACGGGGUAUGGUUCAGUAAGUUGUCAACCCCUUACCAAAGCACACACCGUACAGAGAGGCCAUAGUGGAAGAUACCGGAGGCCUCCGGUAGGCAUGCCACUUGGUCCGGGGGCAUGGGUGUUUCCGGUUGGGACCGAGAGGGGGGCACCCCUUAGAGCGCGCAUAUAGAAAUUUGAUCCCAUGCUACGUCGAGGUUGUAGCCUCCCCACUUAGAGUUUUGCUUGGCAGGUGUCGUGGGUGAUUCCAGACAUCGGUGAGUUAAGCUGGUGUGUGCAGGUCAGGCGUGUUUUCAAUUAAAAGGCCGUAGGCGGAAUUAGUCCUGAUGGACUAAGUAAAUCCGUUACUCGUGGGAAAAUAGUGCUCCCUCUGCAGAGGAUAUAUCCUGCUGGAUAGCCAUGUCCUUGAGUAAGGACCACAGUCUGAGUUGAAUCUAGUAACGGUAUUCGGAUGGAGAACGAUUUAACUAGAACUUAGUUACGGUUUUCGGAUGGAGACACGGCUAACUGGAUCAUAGUAACGGUAUUCGGAUGGAGAACGAAUCAGCUAGAACUCAGUGACGGUCUUCGGAUGGAGAAACGGCUGGACGAGAUUUUUGUUUAUGACCUGUGACAUCUGGGGAUCGUGUUUUAAUUUUGUUAUUAUUGUGGACUAACCAUUUACAUUAUGUAUUUUAUUGAGUAUCCUUGGGAUGGUUCUACCUCCUGGAUACUCACUGUGAUUAUUCUUUUAUAAGCCCUUUAUGUGGUGUCGCUCAGACGCCCGACUGCGGCAUGCUUGUUGUUUAUUUAUCUUUUAUAAGCCCUUUAUGUGGUGUCGCUCAGACGCCCGACUGCGGCAUGGUUACUCUUGCAUUUUCCUCUUGAGGAGUCAUUCAGACACUCGCUUGGCCCUCAGUAUUUUACUUUGGGAUUUCGGGAGGACUACCGCCCGACUUCUCUUUUGUUUCCCAUGCAUCAUUAUCUUUAUGUCUGAUUGCACUUGUUAAUCUGUUCUCAUGCAUCGUGUUUACAUUUGUUAUAUCUUAUGUUCGAACUAUCUUGCGAGUACUUUCAUAGUACUCACCCACGUACUGCAUGUUCAUAUUAUCUCUGCAUGCGAGCAACGCAGACUUUCGUGGCAGACGUUGUGAUCAUAAUUAUUUCGGAGCAGGAUUGUCCCUCAUUAUAUUAUACCCGUGUUCUUAAUGUUUGCGAGUACAUUCAAACAUACUCACUGGCUUGUCCCUGGCUAUUGUCUUGGCCAGAUUUUUGCGCAUGGAGAUAAGCAUCGCGGUGACAACCUCGGAGCCUAUGUGUUGACGAUAGCAGCCUCGCGAAGAUAGGAGUUAUGCUGGUCAGCUGUUCUUGUGGGAAAUGGAGUCCCAUAGACGCAGUUGUACCCAACCGCUUCCGCACUCAACCAUUAGAAACCAAGUGGUUUACUCCUAGGCCUCAAUGGUCUUGUACUACAUAUUUUUGUACCUUGCUUGGAAUUCUUGUAUCAAGUUGGUGCCUCAUCAGCUAACAGUAAUCCUGGGGCUGGUGAGCACAAAGGCCGUUUUUCUGGGAAAUUAUUAUCCCAAAAAUCCGGUCGUGACAGACUUGGUAUCAGAGCCAGGCUGACCAUUGGCUAAUCCUAUCUUAGCCAGGUCAAUAAACCUAGGUUAACCCAACCACCAGACCUUAGCCUAACCCCGGUCUAGCAUCCCGCGUAAGAUAGCCCCACAGUGACCCGACGCCUUUCGGCGGACGGUGCCCAACCUAUCAGCCUAGCCCGUCGAUCACGCGCCAGUGACCGACACCCAACCCGUCUCUAUCGCAAGCGUGUGGAGGAAGACUCCGUCCCCUUUUCCUAUAAAAAGGGCACGCCAGCCACAGCACAUCACAACCUCUUCCCCCCAAAACCAAGCCACGAUGCCUGGUCCCAUUGUUCACAAUGAGACCACAGCGACCAACCUGGGAGGUUUUGUGACCGUGCUCGCAAACCUCACCCGCCGUGCCUAUGCGUUAGAAGAGCCUCCUGAGUAUGUUGUGUACCAGGGACCCAUGUACGGUGAGAGCCGUCAGUACUGGGCCACUGUGCACAUCUACGGUAGGGUUCUGUCGCCAGAACGCCCCUACAGGUUCACUGGAAGGACAACUCCCUUUGAGCCACAAGCCAUCCAACUGGCAGCCCGAGAAGCUAUAGUUCAACUCCGGCACUUGUCGCCCAGAGUUAACUGUCGCUCGUUCUACUACUACCCCAGUCGUGACGGGUAUGGUAGGCCGCCCCAGGUUGCCAACGGAGAUCACGAGACGGAUCCGGCACUGUUACAUCUGGUGCGCUAUGUAAGCGCACUAGAGCAACUGUUCGAUCAGGUCACCCUUGAUCUGAUCGCAGCUCGUGGAGAACUAGUUCGCCGAGCCCCGGCGAGAAGAGACGCGGAGCCCGACACCGACAACCCAGUCGUGCUGUUCGGACACCCGAUCGAUCCCUUGAGGUCCGCCCCAGCCAUCAACCAGAGUGCUUUGGUGACCCCAGAAGCGCUUCGUCGCCUUUUGGGAACCCAUUCCAACGGGAUUGUGGCCAACAACCCCCGCGAUGGUCAUCACCACUAUCCCGACCCUGCAGCCCCUCAACCUCAGCCGGCAAAUCCCGACGGCGAAACCCGUGGAGAAACCCCGGCAUCCGCCAGGCCAGCUCACUUAGACAUUAACGAAGUAGACUAAGUCGCUCGAGUUGUAUCGAGCCUUAGUUUUCCCACGCUUUGUAAUGGUGUGAUCUUGUAUCGCUUUUAUUUAAUGUUGUCUGCUUGAACGCUCCUAUUUUUGGAGUAGUAACUAUGCAUGUGUACGUUAGCGUACAGUUGCAUUUUUAAAUUUCGGGCGCAGCUACCAAGACCAACCCCGACGGCACCCACAGUAAUGCGUCACAUUUAUGUGAUAUGUAUAUCUGUGGCUUUGACCCGAGAACAGGAUCGACAACCAGUUACCCUUUACCCCGGUAGAUAACCCAGCCCCGGUGCUAUAUAAAGGCCACCUCGUGACCUUGCCGAGUGCCCCUCGCCUUUGUGCGCAGCACUCACAGCCAUUCCUUGCCAUGCCAACCCCCAGUAUUUAUCUGAGGACCCCAGACGCAACCCCAGGCAGUUUUGUUAAAUUAUUGUGGGACUUUACCUGCAGUACCAUGAGUGCCACCCGUCCACCCCAGUACGAGUUGCUCAAAUCGAGGAUCACCCCUUCCACCUCAAAAUAUUGGGCAGUGGUGCACAUCCCUCCCGCAUACCCAAACCAAGACCCAACGGAAGUAUCCUUCGUGGGGAAAUCCAUGCCGACUCCGCAUAUGGCUAUAGAAGCUGCUGCAUACGAGGCGCUCACUCGUCUUCGAUUCGCGGUACCCUAUGCCAGCGAACGAGGAUACUAUUAUUUUCCGAGUCGUGCAGCACCCGGAGAAGUUGCAUCUUUUCCCGGUGGACGUAUUGAGAGAGAUCCAGUACUGGCCAACCUUGCCCAGUACGUUAUUGCCCAGGAGCGUUUAACUCAGCAAGUAAUGGGUUAUCUCCAAAGCCUCGCUGAUUUAAAUCCUCGGAUCGCUAUUGGCAGACCACUGAGGCCUGACCAAGAAGGGCGCAUUCAUCGACUGGUCAACCCGCUUCCCCCGAUAGAAGAGGAGUGUGCCCCAGUACCAGAGGCGUUUUCUCAGGACCCUGUCUUUUUGCCGUUUUCCUUGUAAAUGUCUCCGCUGUAUUUAUUAUCCCAGUGUUUAUUUGUGUGUUGUAACUUGCGCGUGGUAUCCAAAAAUUUGUGCGAUGGAUCAGUUUUUCUUUGUUUUCAUUUUUGUGAGCAGUUUUGCUGCUAUUAAAUUUGUUUAAACAAAUCUUCGCUCGCGAUAAUUUUGGUAAUGAGUUUUCUUUCCCCGAGUCACUGCUGCGUAUAUAUUUUCACGGCAUAGAUUUUUAUUCGCGCAACAUCGUAACAGCAGACUCACAGCAGCAACCACUCGACCUCGAGCACUAUUACAAAUCCUUGAGCACCUUUUUGCGCCUAGCUGAUCACACGCAAGGGCACCGCAGUCUCAAUGAGAAAGAUUUGUGAGUGACCAUUCAGGCACGAGUUGCCCCAGCACACCGACAGCAGUUAGCCUUCGAGGCCGCGCCUAAUCCACGUGAUCGCCGCCACCGCGAAGAGCUAACACUCGAGCGGCAGCAUCCCGACGAUCAUCCAGGAUCAUCGCGCACAGGAGCACGGAGAACCCCAGCAGCACCGCCAAGCCUCCACACACCAGGACCACAUACCAGUCUGGCAUUGCCUCCGCCAUUAGAGCCUCGGCUCGAGCUCCUGCUAGCAGCAAUGGAGAAGAAGGAAGGAGAAGUAGAAGCGAGGCCAGGUGUGAGGAAGAAGAGAGGAGCACCGCGAUCGUUUUAUAGCCCGAGAUCGGUGUACGGUGGGCGAGGUCCACCAGCGCCACUCGUCGCUCGACCGCCGGUGUUCGGAGGCGAGUCCGCGAGCAGUGCCGACAACGCACUGGCCCGUGAGGUGAGUGCACGCAGCACCGGCAGCUAGCACGCCGCGCACUACCACGGUACGGCCUCGAUGCCCUACGAGCUAGGCAUCGCCGGUGGAGGAAGCGCGGGAGAGCGCGCGAGAGAGAAGAGAGAGCCAGAGGUAGGAGAAGAGGCCGACAGUGGGCCCUGGGUCCACCUGUCAGCCAAAGAGAGCACUGUGCUCUCGGGUGCGACCAGCGUAUUUUGGUAAUUUAGAAUUUAUUCUAAAUUACUGUAUCUACGUAGAAAUAUCUCGUUUCCCCUAACCGUGGAUUUUUCCACACUACGCCAGUGUACCACACUGUGGUUUUACACCACUUAUUUCCCUCUCCCUGUAGCCGUUUUGUUUUUGUGCAAUUGAAGGAUUUCUUUGAUAAAAACAGAUUUUGUUCAAAACAGUUUUCAACAAAUCUCGAGGACGAGAUUUUUCUUAAGGGGGGUAGUGUUGUGACACCCCAAAAUUUUGGCCUUGUUUUAUUGAUUUAAAAUUUUUCCAGGAAAUAAAACUUUUCCAUUUGUCAAGAUGUACCCUUUUGCUAUUGUGGAUUUUUACUUCAAGUGGAAAACUUUCACAAGGUAUUGUUGGACUUGAAUACUCUCUAUGGUAAAACAAUUCUUUAUCAGUGGAUUUAAAUUUGCUAGAUUUGUUUUCUCAGAGCCUUAUUCUUUUAAAAAUGAUUUCUUUUGAAUUUGGAGCCUGUUUUGCACUACAACCAUUUGACAAAUGCAUUUAAAAUUUCCACCAAAAAUUUGGGGAUGUCAUGUGAUGUUUCCACAUCACUUUUAUGCAAAAAUACCUUUUGGCUAUUGGAGAUUUUGAGCUCUACACCAACUUUUCCAAUCUGGUCCAGUAGGCACUUUUGCACUACAACCCAUUUAAUUAUUUCUUUAAAAAUUCUUCCAAGUGUUUGGAGAUGUCAGUGGAUGCAUACAAUUCAACUCUAUGCAAAAACCAAGUGAUGUUCUUUGAAAAAUUUGAGUGAAUCAACCUCUUUUUCAUUCUGGUCCAGUUUGGUGAUUUGAACUGCAACCCUAUUUUAUUUUGCUCUUGUGCCCAUGACCCUUUUUCCUACUUGUAGCCCUCCCUUCAAAACCCUUAAGUCCAGGAGAGUGGACUCAUUGGAGGUUUUGAAGUGCAUGCAAUAAACCCUUUUUCUUUCUAUCCAAAACUAAAGUUUUGCAAAACUUGCACUAACAAGUUUCUGGUUUUGCCCAAGUAAUCUUGCCACCAUCUUCUGCACCUAAAGAGACCCUGAUCUGGAGACUUUGGCCACUCCAAGAGUUGCCUAAGUGCAUUUGGCAUUCUGUCGAGCACUUGGUGUGCACAGUCAGCUUGGGGCAUGUUUUCUAGUUUGCACUGUGAACUUGCUCCAAUGACCCAGCAACCUUAUCCACUGAACUCCUAGUUGCCUCUAUCCUAGUCCUGUAAAUUGCCAGCCCCACCCUCGCGCUCUAGACCGCCCUGGCAUUUCGUCGAGCAGGUUCCGUGCGUGCUCUGGGCGCGCCCAGAGCGCACGUUUUGCACGCGCGCGCACUGAGCCGCGGCGCCGCACUGCCGCACUCGACGCGACCCGUCCCUGGCCCCUGCUCACCUGCUGAGCAGCGCACUAGCCACGCCCACUCCCCACGCCACCCCUGGCGCCCUACAGCGCCGCUGGCAGAGCGUUUGGCGGCACGCCGGCGUCGGCAGCGAACCUCUGACAUGGACGGCGCCGCCCAAGCCACCCCAGCGCGCCAGCUGCCCCCGUGAACAGCCCGGUCUUAUCCCGAAGCUCGUCGGCACGCGCUCGUCGCCGCCACGUCGCCCUGCAGCUACAGCACGGCUGUCGCCGGCGAUCUUAUCCUCAGCCGCCGCGGCCCAGCCCCGAGCGCCUAUUUAAGGGACCCCCGAGCUCGUGCAAGACCUCAGGCAACCUCAGACUGUUCCCCUAGUCCUCCCCUAGCAGUGGAUUGGCCCGGAGAGGCUCUCUUCCCCAACUCCGGCCAGCUCGGCCGCCGCCAAGUUCCGGUGCGAUACAUCGCAGCCAGCCACUCUCUCGCCCAACCGACGCCACCAGUAGCUUCCCCUUGUCCUUGCGGAGCUGCCCGACUACCCAACCUCGAUCGGAGACCACCGGAGCCCAAAAACCACUUCACCACCGUAGCCCCCUCCGCCGUGGAGCUCGCCGCCGGCGAUUUCCUCCACCCCCGACGACCCAGCGACCACCAAGAGGACCGCCUCGGUCUGGCCGGUCCAUCCCCGCCCCCAGAUGCCCUCGAGGAGCCGCCGUUCGUCGACGGCGAUCGCCGGAGGCCGCCACCGUUCGGACAGAGAGAGAGAGGAGGGAGGGAAGAACGGUCAAACCUGACCAGUGGGCCCUCUGGACCCACUGCCAGUGACCCGCGCGCCGUCCCCUCUGUUUAAGUGAAAGCGUAUAACCACAGAGUACGUCUCCCCUACCCCGAAAGCGUAUUCCCCUCGUCCCUAGUCCCCCGUCGAGACGAGUAUGUCCGGUAUGGCAUGGUGAGGCUUGAUGAGUGGUGAUUUAUUCCACUAAUGGUAAUAUUGUUGGAGGAUACUUGGACCACCUGAGUCGGUCGUAGGUCGAGUCUUGGUCAGUAGCUUCCCUAUUUGUUGGUACCACCACUUGUCCCUGUCGCAGACGGGGUAUGGUUCAGUAAGUUGUCAACCCCUUACCAAAGCACACACCGUACAGAGAGGCCAUAGUGGAAGAUACCGGAGGCCUCCGGUAGGCAUGCCACUUGGUCCGGGGGCAUGGGUGUUUCCGGUUGGGACCGAGAGGGGGGCACCCCUUAGAGCGCGCAUAUAGAAAUUUGAUCCCAUGCUACGUCGAGGUUGUAGCCUCCCCACUUAGAGUUUUGUUUGGCAGGUGUCGUGGGUGAUUCCAGACAUCGGUGAGUUAAGCUGGUGUGUGCAGGGCAGGCGUGUUUUCAAUUAAAAGGCCGUAGGCAGAAUUAGUCCCGAUGGACUAAGUAAAUCCGUUACUCGUGGGAAAAUAGUGCUCCCUCUGCAGAGGAUAUAUCCUGCUGGAUAGCCAUGUCCUUGAGUAAGGACCACAGUCUGAGUUGAAUCUAGUAACGGUAUUCGGAUGGAGAACGAUUUAACUAGAACUUAGUUACGGUUUUCGGAUGGAGACACGGCUAACUGGAUCAUAGUAACGGUAUUCGGAUGGAGAACGAAUCAACUAGAACUCAGUGACGGUCUUCGGAUGGAGAAACGGCUGGACGAGAUUUUUGUUUAUGACCUGUGACAUCUGGGGAUCGUGUUUUAAUUUUGUUAUUAUUGUGGACUAACCAUUUACAUUAUGUAUUUUACUGAGUAUCCUUGGGAUGGUUCUACCUCCUGGAUACUCACUGUGAUUAUUCUUUUAUAAGCUCUUUAUGUGGUGUCGCUCAGACGCCCGACUGCGGCAUGCUUGUUGUUUAUUUAUCUUUUAUAAGCCCUUUAUGUGGUGUCGCUUAGACGCCCGACUGCGGCAUGGUUACUCUUGCAUUUUCCUCUCGAGGAGUCAUUCAGACACUCGCUUGGCCCUCCGUAUUUAUUUUGGGAUUUCGGGAGGACUACCGCCUGACUUCUCUUUUGUUUCCCAUGCAUCAUUAUCUUUAUGUCUGAUUGCACUUGUUAAUCUGUUCUCAUGCAUCGUGUUUACAUUUGUUAUAUCUUAUGUUCGAACUAUCUUGCGAGUACUUUCAUAGUACUCACCCACGUACUGCAUGUUCAUAUUAUCUCUGCAUGCGAGCAACGCAGACUUUCGUGGCAGACGUUGUGAUCAUAAUUAUUUCGGAGCAGGAUUGUCCCUCAUUAUAUUAUACCCGUGUUCUUAAUGUUUGCGAGUACAUUCAAACGUACUCACUGGCUUGUCCCUGGCUAUUGUCUUGGCCAGAUUUUUGCGCAUGGAGAUAAGCAUCGCGGUGACAACCUCGGAGCCUACGUGUUGACGAUAGCAGCCUCGCGAAGAUAGGAGUUAUCCUGGUCAGCUGUUCUUGUGGGAAAUGGAGUCCCAUAGACGCAGAUGUACCCAACCGCUUCCGCCCUCAACCAUUAGAAACCAAGUGUUGUACUCCUAGGCCUCAAUGGUCUUGUACUACAUAUUUUUGUACCUUGCUUGGAAUUCUUGUAUCAAGUUGGUGCCUCAUCAGCUAACAGUAAUCCUGGGGCUGGUGAGCACAAAGGCCGUUUUUCUGGGAAAUUAUUAUCCCAAAAAUCCGGUCGUGACACAGUUUGAUUGUCGCAGUUCAUAAGGAUACCCGGUACAGGUUUCUCAACAACCGGCAAGUCAUUCAAGAGCCGACGAAGCCAAUCUGCUUCGACCGUAGCUGUAUCUAGUGCUAUGAGUUCUGCUUCCAUUGUUGACUUCGUUAAGAUGGUCUGCUUGCAAGACUUCCAAGAAACAGCGCCACCUCCAUGAGUGAAUACAUAACCGCUCGUGGCCUUUAUCUCAUCAGCAUCUGAGAUCCCGUUUGAGUCACUAUACCCUUCAAGCACCUUUGGGUGCCCGGUGUAGUGAAUUCCAUAAUUCGCAGUGCCUUUCCCAAAACUUUCUCUAGAGCUUUCCAAUGCACAUCUCCUGGUUUGAGACAAACCGACUCAGUUUGCUAACAUCAAAAGAGAUGUCAGGUCUUGUAGCACUGGCUAAGUACAUAAGCGAGCCAAUAAUCUGAGAAUAUUUCAAUUGAUCUCUAGCAAUUCUUCGAUUCCUUCGAAGUAACACACUCACAUCAUAUGGUGUUGGAGAGGGCUUGCAGUCACUAUAGCCAAAGCGACUCAAGAUCUUUUCCACAUAGUGAGAUUGAAGCAAUGUAAUCCCACCAUCAUCGUCUCUCAACAACUUGAUGUUCAGAAUGACAUCAGCCACUCCUAAAUCCUUCAUCUCAAAACAACGAGAUAGGAAAUCCUUGACCUCCUUAACAACAUUCAGAUUUGUUCCGAAAAUCAGUAUGUCGUCAACAUACAAGCAAAGGAUAUAUAACUCCCUCGCCCCCACCAUGGCGAUAGUACACACAUUUGUCAGCUUCGUUUACAAAAAAGCCUGCAGUUGUUAAAGUUCUUUCAAACUUCUCAUGCCACUGUUUGGGUGCUUGCUUGAGUCCAUACAACGACUUCAGCAACUUGCACACUUUUCCUUCCUGGCCGUCUAGUACAAAUCCAUCUGGUUGUUCCAUAUAAAUUUCCUCGUCUAACUCUUCAUUUAGGAAAGCAGACUUAACAUUCAUUUAAUGAACGAGAAUACCAUGUGAGGCAGCUAGUGAAAGUAGAACUCGAAUAGUGGUCAGUCGAGCCACAGGUGAGUAAGUAUCAAAGAAGUCUUCACCUUCCUUUUGGGUAUAACCCUUAGCCACGAGCCGAGUCUUGUACUUUUCAAUAGUAUCAUCAGGCCUAAGCUUCUUCUUGAAUACCCAUUUGCAUCCUAUAGGUUUGCACCCAUAAGGACGAUCAGUUAUCUCCCAAGUUUCAUUCGCCAAGAUAGAAUCCAUCUCGCUACGAACCGCUUCCUUCCAGUAGUCAGCAUCUUCAGAUGCAUAGGCUUCUGAAAUAGAACUGGGAGUGUCAUCUAUGAGAUAUACAAGAAAAUGAUCACCAAAGGACUUUGCAGUCCUCUGUCUCUUGCUCCUCGUAGGAAUUUCAUUGUUCUCCUCCACAGGACUUUCAAAGUGUUCCAUCGAAAUGGCAGGUUCGGUAAUUAUAACUGGUUCCUGAUUCAAUGAACUAGGCAUCUCCUGAUUAGAUGAGGUAGUCAUAUCCUUCAUGGGAAAGAUAUCUUCAAAGAAAGUCACAUCAUUCGACUCCAUGAUCGUACCGACAUGCAUGUCAGGUACCUCAGAUUUUACAACCAAGAAUCUAUAACCAAUGCUAUGAAAAGCAUAUCCCAGGAAAACACAAUCCACGGUCUUUGGUCCAAGCUUGCGCUUCUUUGGAAUUGGCACAUUGACUUUCGCCAAACAACCCCAGGUUCGCAGAUAAGAGAACUUUACUCUUUUCUUCUCCCAUUCCUCGAAUGGAGUUAUCUCUUUAUUCUUUGUGGGAACUCGGUUUAGGACAUGACAUGCAGUCAAUAUCGCCUCCCCUCACCAUGCCUUGGAGAGACCCGAUGUGUCUAACAUGGCGUUAACCAAAUCAGUUAGAGUAUGGUUCUUUCUUUCGGCUACCCCAUUUGACUGAGGUGAAUAGGGAGGCGUCCUCUCAUGGAUUAUACCAUGUUCCGCACAAAAAGCAUCAAAUUCAUUGAAAAAAUACUCUCCACCACGGUCGGACCUAAGCCUCUUGAUUUUCCGAUCAAGUUGUUUUUCCACUUCAGCUUUAUAGAUUUUGAAAAAGUUCAAAGCCUCAUCCUUAGAUUUCAGAAGAUACACACGGCAAUAUCUAGUGGAGUCGUCAAUUAACGUCAUGAAAUAUUUCUUUCCACCUUUUGUUAAAACACCAUUCAUUUCACAUAGAUCUGAAUGUAUGAGCUCUAGUGGUGCAAGAUUUCUCGUUUCCGUAGUCGUGUGAGACUUACGAGGUUGCUUAGCUUGCACACAAACUUGACACUUAGAUCCCUUGACAGUGGUGAAACUAGGGAUUAAGUUCAACUUCGCUAGUUGCGACAUGCAACGAAAGUUAACAUGACAAAGACGUGAAUGCCACACAUUUGAUUCACUAUUGUUGCAAACAUGAUUAACAACUUUAUUCCAAAAGUCUGAUAAGGAUAAACGAAACAGGCCUCCUGACUCAUAGCCUUUACCAACAAAGUUUCCAUACUUGGAUAUUACAAAUUUAUUCGACUCAAAGACAAGCUUAUAGCCAUCUCUAUACAGAAGAGAUCCGCUAACAAGAUUUUUAUUAACGGAGGGGACAUAAUGCACGUUUUUCAGCCGCACGAUCUUCCCUGAAGUAAACUUCAGAUCGAUCGUGCCAACACCACGAACAGAAGCACUUGAACCGUUUCCCAUCAGCACGGUUGAAGUCCCUGCGGUCUGAUAAGACGAAAACAUGGAAAUAUCACCGCAUACAUGCACAUUAGCACCCGUGUCAAUCAACCAAUCAGGAGAAUGGCAUACUGAAAGAAGUGAGAAAUAUACCAUACCCAGCAUCCUUCAUGUCAGUAUCUCCAAUGACAACAUUAGCGGUCUUGCCGCCUUUCCCAGGAUGACGCUUGUCAUAGCGAUUAGGGCAACUAGGAGCCCAAUGAUCAGGAUCCCCACACACAUGACAAACACCUUUCUUUUUGUCAUUCUUCUUCUUGAAGUUCUUGUGCUGCACAUGUUGGGGAUCGUAGCAGAAAUUUAAAAUUUUCUACGCAUCACCAAGAUCAAUCUAUGGAGUAAUCUAGCACCGAGGGGAAGGGGAGUGCAUCUACAUACCAUUGUAGAUCGCUAAGCGGAAGCGUUGCAAGAACGCGGAUGAAGGAGUCGUACUCGUAGCGAUUCAGAUCACGGUUGAUUCCGAUCUAAGCGCCGAACCACGGCGCCUCCGCGUUCAACACACGUGCAGCCCGGUGACGUCUCCCACGCCUUGAUCCAGCAAGGGGAGAAGGAGAAGUUGGGGAAGACUCCGUCCAGCAGCAGCACGACGGCGUGGUGGUGGUGGAGGAGCGCGGAACUCCAGCAGGGCUUCGCCAAGCACUACGAGAGACGAGGAGGGAGAGAGGUAUGGCUGCGCCUGGGAGAGAAUAACUCGUGUAUUGGGCAGCCCCUAGACCUCAACUAUAUAUAGGGGGAGGGGAGGGGGCUGCGCCCCCUCUAGGUUCCCACCCCAAGGGGUGCGGCAGCCCCAGAUCCCAUCUAGGGUGGCGGCCAAAGGGGGGAGAGGGGGAGGCACACCUGGGGUGGGCCUUAGGGCCCAUCUGCCCUAGGGUUUGCCCCCAUCUUCUCUUGAGGCGCCUUGGGCCUUGGUGGGGGGCGCCCCAGCCCACCUAGGGGCUGGUCCCUUCCCACUAUUGGCCCACGCAAGCCUCUGGGGCUGGUGGCCCCUCCCGGUGGACCCCCGGACCCUUCCGGUGGUCCCGGUACAUUACCGGUGAUGCCCGGAACACUUCCGGUGGCCAAAUCCUCACUUCCUAUAUAUCAAUCUUUACCUCCGGACCAUUCCGGAACUCCUCGUGACGUCCGGGAUCUCAUCCGGGACUCCGAACAACAUUCGGUAACCGCGUACAUACUUUCCCUAUAACCCUAGCGUCAUCGAACCUUAAGUGUGUAGACCCUACGGGCUCGGGAACCAUGCAGUCAUGACCGAGACAUAUCUCCGGCCAAUAACCAACAGCGGGAUCUGGAUACCCAUGUUGGCUCCCAUAUGUUCCACGAUGAUCUCAUCGGAUGAACCACGAUGUCAAGGAUUCAAUCAAUCCCGUAUACAAUUCCCUUUGUCUACCGGUAUAGUACUUGCCCGAGAUUCGAUCGUCGGUAUCCCGAUACCUUGUUCAAUCUCGUUACCGGCAAGUCUCUUUACUCGUUCUGUAACACAUCAUCCCGUGAUCAACUCCUUGGUCACAUUGUGCACAUUAUGAUGAUGUCCUACCGAGUGGGCCCAGAGAUACCUUUCCGUUUACACGGAGUGACAAAUCCCAGUCUCGAUUCGUGCCAACCCAACAGACACUUUCGGAGAUACCUGUAGUGCACCUUUAUAGCCACCCAGUUACGUUGUGACGUUUGGUACACCCAAAGCAUUCCUACGGUAUUUGGGAGUUGCACAAUCUCAUGGUCUAAGGAAAUGAUACUUGACAUUAGAAAAGCUCUUAGCAAACGAACUACACGACCUUGUGUUAGGCUUAGGAUUGGGUCUUGUCCAUCACAUCAUUCUCCUAAUGAUGUGAUCCCGUUAUCAACGACAUCCAAUGUCCAUGGUCAGGAAACCGUAACCAUCUAUUGAUCAACGAGCUAGUCAACUAGAGGCUUACUAGGGACAUGGUGUUGUCUAUGUAUCCACACAUGUAUCUGAGUUUCCUAUCAAUACAAUUUUAGCAUGGAUAAUAAACGAUUACCAUGAACAAGGAAAUAUAAUAAUAACCAAUUUAUUAUUGCCUCUAGGACAUAUUUCUAACAGCACAGCCUUGUUCUUCCCAUCAAACUUUUCUUUACCAUCAAAUUUGCCCUUGUUCUUGAACUUGUGGGGCUGGAAAUUCUGCUUCUGUACCAGAUUGGCACUAGAUCCUCCCUCAAUACCUCGAGCAUGUGUGUCCUUUGCUCUCGCCUUUUCUUCCACAUCAAGCGUACCAAUGAGAUCCGGAACGGAAAACUCCUGUCUCUUAUGCUUUAGUAAGGUAGCAAAGUUCCUCCAUGAAGGAGGAAGCUUAGUGAUGAUACCUCCGGCAACAAACUUGUCUGGUAGCAUACAAUUGAAGUGCUCAAGUUCUCUAGCAAAUGACUGUAUCUCUUGAGCUUGCUCAACCACGGAGCGCUCUUCAGUCAUCCUGUAAUCAUAGAAUUGCUCCAUGAUGUACAGCUCAGUGCCAGCAUCCGAGACCCCAAACUUGGCCUCGAGUGCGUCCCACAUAUCGUUUCCAUUGUCAUUUGAUGAAUACGCAUCAACUAUGUUCUCACCAAGAACACUCAAGAGAGCAGCCUUAAACAGAGUAUCCAUUUUCUGAAAAGCUUGUUCCUGUUGGGCAUCAUGCUCCCCUUCAGGUUUGUCAAGAGUGGCGUCAUAGCAACUCAUGGUUUGAAACCAUAAGACUGCUCUCACACGCCACCUCUUAUAGUGGAUACCCUCAAACAUAGGAGGUCUCAUGGAAGCAGCAAAACCACUUGGUGUAAAUUGCCUAUGAUAAGGUUUUUGGAUUGUUGGAAAUACGAGCAAUUUACCGAAUGAUUUUAUUAACAGAAAUACUAGAUAAAGCACGACUAGUAUAGCAGUGAUAAAACAAGUCAUGCGAUUUGACAAAGAGAAGGUAAACAACAUGUUCAUAUAUGAACUGUAACUAAACACAUCUAGAGCAGACAUUAUAGCAAGUUGCAUAUAUGAAACAGAGUCUAACAUAUCUAGGGCAAACACUAGAACAAGGAACUGUAGCAGGGCUUCUAAUAGAAAGAAGAAGAACGCGUACGGGACAGCAGCAGCAGAAGCGGGGCGUCCGUGACGAAGAAGUCAGUAGUCGCGCGAAGCGGUCCCCAAAAACCUUAUCACCCUUCUCCCGUACAGGACUCAAGAACUUGUGGCCGGGAGCUGAAGAGAACGAGGGAGAAAAUUUAGAUCUUGUCUCAUUCCCGCAACCCGCGGCGCGUCGCGCCGAGGCGUGUCCCUCUUGUUCUCAUCCUCAUACAUGUGGAGAAAGAGCAUCCCUUAUAAAGAGGUCCAACUCCUUCUAAACUAGCAAUGUGGGACUAAACUUUAGUUUCACCUCUUGCCUUGCACGAAUGGGCUGCGUGGGCCUUUUGGAUUUAUUAGGAAUUUCUGAAACUGCUAUUGGGCUAGGCCCAAAAUAGACAAAAUUCCAGGAGUACAUUGCAAGGUACCUUAAACAAUCAAUCGAGGACAUGCAGGUUCAGCUUUCAUGUGGGUGCGCUAAGGAGCGGGUCAGAAUUAUGAAGGGCGUGGAUGAAAGAGCGGUCAUAACAACCAAUUGGUCUGACUUUGUGACAACGAAAGAGCUUGCAAAACAGCAUCAGAUAUGUGCCUUUGCCUUCAAGGCUAAAAAAGGCAGACUGUUGCUCACUGUCCACCCGCUUUGAGGUCGGCUACGAAAUCAUACUCGUACUAUUAUGCAAAUACUUGUGAUUUGAUUGGUUAAACAAUAUAAUCCUGGCAGGUUCAUAUAGCAUGGCAUGUAAGGAGUCGGGCAAUAAGACGACCCAGCGAAGCUAUAAAAUAUUAGGCUUUAGCAUAACAACUUUGAUUUUUUAUCUCUCAUCGCAUGUGCCCCCUCUGUCUAUAUAAUGACUCAACUAUUGUAUCUGCUUUGGGGCAAUCCAUCAUGUUGGUUUUCUUUUGGAACAAAAAUGUUGCCUUGAUUUUGGAAUGGCUGGUUGCCUUGCUCUUU
rnacentral:lncRNA from 1 species